GAUGAACGCUGGCGGCGUGCCUAAUACAUGCAAGUCGAGCGAACAGACGAGGAUCUUGCUCCUCUGACGUUAGCGGCGGACGGGUGAGUAACACGUGGAUAACCUACCUAUAAGACUGGGAUAACUUCGGGAAACCGGAGCUAAUACCGGAUAAUAUAUUGAACCGCAUGGUUCAAUAGUGAAAGACGGUUUUGCUGUCACUUAUAGAUGGAUCCGCGCCGCAUUAGCUAGUUGGUAAGGUAACGGCUUACCAAGGCAACGAUGCGUAGCCGACCUGAGAGGGUGAUCGGCCACACUGGAACUGAGACACGGUCCAGACUCCUACGGGAGGCAGCAGUAGGGAAUCUUGGGCAAUGGGCGAAAGCCUGACGGAGCAACGCCGCGUGAGUGAUGAAGGUCUUCGGAUCGUAAACCUCUGUUAUUAGGGAAGAACAAAUGUGUGAGUAACUAUGCACGUCUUGACGGUACCUAAUCAGAAAGCAACGGCUAACUACGUG
rnacentral:rRNA from 1 species